GUAUGUGUACCUGGCUGGAGCAAGUGCCACCCUCAUUGAUUCAUCCGGCUAGGUUUGGGUCAGCUUCCUUCCUUGGCACUCCACAGACAGCCUUCCCUAAGCUGUAUACUCAGUCAAAGAGGAUGCUUUCCCCAGUAAAAGAGGACCAUUCAUCAAUCGAGGACAUGUGCUGACUAUCUGGUAACCUGACAGAACCUCCAAACAAGCUCUCAAGGAAAAGCCAUCCCUUCCCAUACCCAUCUCCUCGUGAGGAGGCUGCUUGGGAAAAAGGGUGCAGCCUGCCUCAGCCUCAUGCCUGUAGCUGUUUGUGA
rnacentral:sRNA from 1 species